AGAGAUGUAGCUCAGUUGGUAGAGUGCUGACCUAGCACACCAAGAGCCCUGGGUUCAAUUCCCAGCCUCUGUG
rnacentral:tRNA from 1 species